UUAGGUGUCACCAAAAUAAAUUGUUUCAUUCUAUAUCAGAAGACAGAAUUGUAUGAGGAAAAAUAUAGAUACGGAUAUACCCACCUACAGACACAAAGGCCUGGAGAAGAGGCGAAGCACAGUUAUUCCUUCUGAUUCUUGUUCAGGGGCUGUAGCUGUAUACACUGAGGAAUCAGAGAAGCAAACAUUCCACCUUCUCUUCCCUCCCAGAUGCUCCAUGAAGUUAAAUGCAAGGAUAUCACUGCUGCUGUCUGAAAUUUAUAGAAGGGUGUUUGGCACAGGAAGGAUCCAGGAAGGACCACAACCAC
rnacentral:lncRNA from 1 species